rnacentral:rRNA from 1 species
GCAGUAGCCGCGGUAAUACGUAGGGUGCAAGCGUUAAUCGGAAUUACUGGGCGUAAAGCGUGCGCAGGCGGUUUGCUAAGACAGAUGUGAAAUCCCCGGGCUUAACCUGGGAACUGCAUUUGUGACUGGCGGGCUAGAGUAUGGCAGAGGGGGGUAGAAUUCCACGUGUAGCAGUGAAAUGCGUAGAGAUGUGGAGGAAUACCGAUGGCGAAGGCAGCCCCCUGGGCCAAUACUGACGCUCAUGCACGAAAGCGUGGGGAGCAAACAGGAUUAGAUACCCCGGUAGUCCCUGUCUCUUAUAC